rnacentral:rRNA from 1 species
GACGAACGCUGGCGGCGUGCUUAACACAUGCAAGUCGAACGGAAAGGCCCUGCUCUUGUGGGGUGCUCGAGUGGCGAACGGGUGAGUAACACGUGAGUAACCUGCCCUUGACUUUGGGAUAACUUCAGGAAACUGGGGCUAAUAUCGGAUAGGAGCUCCUGCUGCAUGGUGGGGGUUGGAAAGUUUCGGCGGUUGGGGAUGGACUCGCGGCUUAUCAGCUUGUUGGUGGGGUAGUGGCUUACCAAGGCUUUGACGGGUAGCCGGCCUGAGAGGGGGACCGGCCACAUUGGGACUGAGAUACGGCCCAGACUCCUACGGGAGGCAGCAGUGGGGAAUAUUGCACAAUGGGGGGAAGCGUGUGGCAGCGACGCCGCGUGCGGGAUGACGGCCUUCGGGUUGUAAACCGCUUUCGCCUGAGACGAAGCGUGAGUGACGGUAAUGGGUAAAGAAGCACCGGCUAACUACGUG